rnacentral:rRNA from 1 species
AUCUAUACUGUGAAACUGCGAAUGGCUCAUUAAAUCAGUUAUCGUUUAUUUGAUAGUACCUUACUACUUGGAUAACCGUGGUAAUUCUAGAGCUAAUACAUGCUAAAAACCCCGACUUUUGGAGGGGUGUAUUUAUUAGAUAAAAAACCAAUGCCCUUCGGGGCUCCUUGGUGAUUCAUAAUAACUUAACGAAUCGCAUGGCCUUGUGCCGGCGAUGGUUCAUUCAAAUUUCUGCCCUAUCAACUUUCGAUGGUUAGGUCUUGGCUAACCAUGGUUUCAACGGGUAACGGGGAAUUAGGGUUCUAUUCCGGAGAGUGAGCCUGAGAAACGGCUAACACAUCCAAGGAAGGCAGCAGGCGCGCAAAUUACCCAAUCCCGAUACGGGGAGGUAGUGACAAUAAAUACUGAUCCAGGGCUCUUUUGGGUCUUGGAAUUGGAAUGAGUACAAUUUAAAUCCCUUAACGAGGAACAAUUGGAGGGCAAGUCUGGUGCCAGCAGCCGCGGUAAUUCCAGCUCCAAUAGCGUAUAUUAAAGUUGUUGCAGUUAAAAAGCUCGUAGUUGAACCUUGGGUCUGGUUGGCUGGUCCGCCUCACCGCGUGUACUGGUCCGACCGGAUCUUUCCUUCUGGGGAGCCGCAUGCCCUUCACUGGGUGUGUCGGGGAACCAGGACUUUUACUUUGAAAAAAUUAGAGUGUUCAAAGCAGGCCUAUGCUCGAAUACAUUAGCAUGGAAUAAUAGAAUAGGACGUGUGGUUCUAUUUUGUUGGUUUCUAGGACCGCCGUAAUGAUUAAUAGGGGAUAGUCGGGGGGCAUCAGUAUUCAAUUGUCAGAGGUGAAAUUCUUGGAUUUAUUGAAGACUAACUACUGCGAAAGCAUUUGCCAAGGAUGUUUUCAUUAAUCAGUGAACGAAAGUUAGGGGAUCGAAGACGAUCAGAUACCGUCGUAGUCUUAACCAUAAACUAUGCCGACUAGGGAUCGGGCGAUGUUACUUUUUUGACUCGCUCGGCACCUUACGAGAAAUCAAAGUC